ensembl:antisense
GGACCGGACAGGGAAGGGCCCUCUGGGGCUGCAGAUGCCGGCCCAGGGAAGCGCCUGGGGACCGGGAACCGGGGACCGGGACCUGGAGAUCUAGUCCCGGACCACCAAGCGGAAGUGAGGUGUCCCCCCCCUCACCUCGGAGCAUCGGCUCGGGCCGCGGGAUCACGGCCACCACCACGGCCUCGUCGUCAUCAUCCCCUUCCUCACACUUGAGCGUCACCUCGAAGCAAUCCAGAGCCGCGGCGCCCUUGGCUUUCAGGGCCAUGGCGAGGCGAAGAAGGGCGACCGGAUAGCCGAGGACGUUCGCACAGACCUCGGCGCACCGCCUGUGGCGGCCGCCUCCUGCCCCGGACCACCCCGGGCCCGCGGCUCGCCUAGCUCACCCGCCNNNNNNNNNNNNNNNNNNNCCCCGCCGCUCCCUUUUAUGGAGGCUCAUUGUCAGCGUCCGUCCGGCAGUCCCGCCUCCAGACCAGGCUGGCCAAUCACGUGAGGACACGCCCCCUAGCCCCGCCCCAGCCACAGGUCUGGGCCAGAACCCUGUGCAGCGCGUUUGUCUCUGGCCGGUUUGCUCGGCGGCGAAGCCUGGAGUUUUCCUGGGAGCGGCGCCGGCAGCCUUGGAGACCCGGUAGGGCAUCCCCACCAAUGGCUGGAGGAAAGGGCUGCUCGGCAUCUUACUUCUUGGCUUUCCCCUGACUAGCUGCCUGCCUGGGAGGCAACACAGACGAGAAAAGACCGGUGGGGAUGUGUGAAGGAUACAUAGGCUCAGAAGUGUGGAGACAUCUCUUCUAAUUUCUUUGGGCCUCGUUCCUUUCUACUAGCACAUACGCUUUAGGGAAAGAAAAAUCACUUUGGAUCCUCCUAAACAAAGAUUCUAGAAGAUGAAGAGGACAAGAGUGGCGUGUGGGCGUGUGUAAACCGCUUCCGAUGGAUAUAAUUUACGUUAAAAACAAAACAAAACAAAAAACGUGAGUCCAGAGAGUGUGGCCUUUUCCCAGGACACAGCAAAUCCCCUGAGAGCCUCCAAGACCGGGAUCCGGUUGCUAUGGCGCUGCUGCCUGGCAUUCGUGCCUGAGUGAAGACUGUCACAAUGGGCACUUACACUUCUGCAUAACAUCCCCUCCCCACACACAUACACACACCAGACACGCUAGAUUUCAGCUGAGAAACGGCAAAAAUGUCUGGCACUCAAAAUUCUGAUUUUAAGUGCUACCAACAGUAAUUAUCAGCCCAGAAACAGUAAUUGUGGAUGAUGUAGGAGGCUAGGGGACAGAAGAGAAACAGUUCACUUACCGUAUAUUGUGUGUGUGUGUGUGUGUGUGUGUGUGUGUGUGUGUUUGUGUGUGCGCGCGCGCCCUGGGCAUACCCCCCCCCCCCCCAUCCACUGCAUAACCAGCUUUUAUUUUGUUGAGAUAAGGACUCACUUUCAUGUCAGUCUGACCUGGAAUCUGUGUAACCCUGCUUGCCCCAAACCUUUUCCUCCUCCCUCCAUUCCCCUGGCACAAGGAUUAAAGGUCUGAGCUGACACCACAUACAGCAGCCACAAUAGAAAGAACUGAGGAAAUUUCUAUUACUUUGAAAUGUACCCAGUACUAAAAAGAUACUCCAAAUCAAGCAAUUUCCUAGGCCUGGAUAGUUCUUACCUAAAGGCUGUUCUUUGCUUUUUGCCCAAUGCCUCUGGGUAGGUAGUCUGUUCUGUUUUUGCA